rnacentral:rRNA from 1 species
AGUUUGAUCAUGGCUCAGAUUGAACGCUGGCGGAAUGCUUUACACAUGCAAGUCGAGCGGCAGCGCGGGGGCAACCCUGGCGGCGAGCGGCGAACGGGUGAGUAACACAUCGGAACGUACCCAAUCGUGGGGGAUAACUAUCCGAAAGGAUAGCUAAUACCGCAUAAGUCCUGAGGGAGAAAGCGGGGGAUCGCAAGACCUCGCGCGGAUGGAGCGGCCGAUGGCGGAUUAGCUAGUUGGUGGGGUAAAGGCCUACCAAGGCGACGAUCCGUAGCUGGUCUGAGAGGACGACCAGCCACACUGGAACUGAGACACGGUCCAGACUCCUACGGGAGGCAGCAGUGGGGAAUUUUGGACAAUGGGCGCAAGCCUGAUCCAGCCAUUCCGCGUGAGUGAAGAAGGCCUUCGGGUUGUAAAGCUCUUUCGGCAGGGAAGAAACGGUGGAGGCUAAUACCUUCCAUUAAUGACGGUACCUGAAGAAGAAGCACCGGCUAACUACGUG